rnacentral:misc_RNA from 1 species
GAUGAAGAACGUAGUGAAAUGCGAUAAGUAAUGUGAAUUGCAGAAUCCAGUGAAUCAUCGAAUCUUUGAACGCACAUUGCGCCCGCCAGUAUUCUGGCGGGCAUGCCUGUCCGAGCGUCAUUUCAACCAUCAAGCCCCAGGCUUGUGUUGGGGACCUGCGUCCGACGCAGGCCCUGAAAACCAGUGGCGGGCUCGCUGUCCACACCGAGCGUAGUAACUAACCUCGCUACGGGAGCGGCGCGGGCGCCUACCGUAAAACCCCCAAUUUUCACAAGGUUGACCUCGGAUCAGGUAGGAAUACCCGCUGAACUUAAGCAUAUCAAUAAGCGGAGGA